CAGCCAACAUUUGUUGAGGGAGCAGUGCUAGAUUGGAUCCAUUUGGAUCAGCAACUGCCGGGAUCAUCAAAGAGGGAUGAUCGACCGGUACUGGGGAAUGCAGCGGAUUUGCGUUCGAUGGAGCCACAGGAUCGACAUCGGCGGAUGAUACCAUGUUGGAUGGGUGAUCUGCGUCCAAGGAGAAUGAAAAUGACCCAAAGUAAGCCAUGGAGAAUGUGUAGCAGGAAUUAAGAAGAAUGAAGAGAGGUGACGAUUUUG
rnacentral:lncRNA from 1 species